UUUUUAUUGAGAGUUUGAUCCUGGCUCAGGACGAACGCUGGCGGCGUGCCUAACACAUGCAAGUCGAGCGAUG
rnacentral:rRNA from 1 species